rnacentral:sRNA from 1 species
AGACGUGAGGGUGAUCCGGCUGUGACAUCUGUCACCCCACUGAUGGCCAGGCUUGAUUCAGCUCAUCUGUCUGGCUAGGUGGAUGUCUACUUCCUUCCUCACCACUCCAUGCACAUCCCUCCUGAAGCUUCCCACUUGACUGAAGAGGAUGACCUUCCCCAAAUAGAGGAAGAGCAGUCUUUGGUCAAGGAUAUACAAAUCAUUGUGCUCCCCUGCUAGAACCUCCAAACAAAAGAGAUCUUGACUUUAGCUUUCAAUCUGAUAUCUGUCUGGUUUUGGUCUCAGGAUACUAUUGUGC